rnacentral:rRNA from 1 species
AUCAUCACUGAGGGUAUAACCCUCCUGAAGACUCCAGAGAGACUAUCUGGUUGAUAGGCUGAAGGUAUAAAUGCAGCAAUGUAUGAGCCGAUCAGUACUAAUAAGUCGUGAGGCUUGACCAU